rnacentral:lncRNA from 1 species
AGUACUGGAAACGGCUGGCCUUGCCUGGUGAGUGCUGCUUUCCCAGGUCACUGACUGAUGGGCCAGGGGCUGAGUUUUCCCUGCCAGGGUCUAGCCCAGGGCCCCACGUGGCUCCCAGCCCCUUCGUCCCACAGGGCUCAUUCCAAAUAGAUGGCGUGCACCAAUGCCACGCAGAAGACCAUGGGGUUCAUGUAGCGGGAGGUGGCAAAGCUGUCUGCGUGCAGGUCCCACAAGCAACCGCUGGAGACCACCACGCCGUCCUGCCCCUUGCUCCCAAUGCUGACAGAGCACACUGGCCUGUAGCGUGUGCCACCUUGACCAGCUCCCAAAUCGGCAUUCAGCACGGUGGGGCCAGAUGGCAGGCCACACCGGCCGGCUUGGAGGGCAGGUGAGCCUGCAUCAGCUCCUGCGCCCGGACCCAGGGGAACUUCAGCUCCGGCCUGGCUGCCCACAAGGGGACGUGGGGGGAGGAGAAGAGAGGGGUGAUGGAGGGGAGUGUUUGCAACAAGGAACACAGAAUGGGAGCUUGAAGCCUAAGAAGUUGAACACAGACCCCUGAACCAGACGAAUGGCGUGGACAAUGGAACUCGGAACCUGGGACGACUCUGUGGUGCUGUGCCUCCAAGGGGCUCAGCCUGUAAUAGGUGUCCGGAGGCCCAUGGCCUGGGAUCCCCUCCCGCUCUCAGCAUCCCUCCAGCCUCUGACCCACACCUGCUCCUGGAUGAUACUGAUGGGCCGGUGGUGCUUUGGCCGCAGCUGCAACUGUGUUCUCAGAGAUGCUGAUUCCGGGAACGUCGGGAGGAGCAUGGAGGGGGCCUCCCUCUCGAGCUGGCAGCAAAGGGCUCCCUGGGGACCUGGAGACCAAAGGAUGGGCAGGAGGCAACACGUGGUCCCAGAUGGCUGUCCGAGUUCCUCAGAGGUCAAUAAAAGUCAUCCUCACUCCUGGGCACCGAGCCAGGACCGGCUGGACCUUCCCCAGCAUCAUCUCAUCAAAUCUUCACUGCAAACGGCGGGCACCACGCUGCUCUCAUGGUCCAGGAGGCUGGGCCUCAGAGGGGCCCCACAGCCGAGCAGUGAGAGCCAGGAUUCAGACCUUGUCUGUCAAACCGGAGCCCAGACUCCUCUGUGUUUACCUCAGAUGCCCCGGGCCUGGCGCAGGCUCUGCACAGAGCAGGAGCAUAGGAAGUGA